rnacentral:rRNA from 1 species
AUGGUGAAUGGGUCCACGGUAGAUGAGGCAAGAAAGAGCAUACCCAGCAUAGUCAACACCAUCACAUAUGGCAUAGAGAAAUUAAUCACUCUCGGCGCAGUUGACAUCGUGGUUUCAAACGUUGCUCCCAUGGGGUGCUACCCGCUAUACCUGAACUUCUUCGAGAGCCCUGACAAGGGUGACUACGACGAGUAUGGGUGCCUGAGAAACCACAACGCCUUGUUUGAUAGCCACAACUCUUUCCUCAAGAACGGGCUCAAGAAGCUUCAAAAGAAGCAUCAACACACAAGGAUCAUGCAUGCCGACCUUGCAGGCCACGUCUACCAAAUGGUGCAGGAUCCCCAAAAGUUUGGCUUUGGGAUUGGGACCAUACUUAUGGGAUGUUGCGGAAAGGCCAAUGCGCCAAACGGAUUUGAUCUGCUCGCAAUGUGCGGGAUGGAUGGCUCGAGCGUCUGCCAUGACCCGGGGAGCCACCUAACCUGGGACGGUAUGCACCUUAGCGACGCUGCCAACAAACGGAUCACCGAGGGCUGGCUAAGCGGCAUGUACUGCAACCCACCGAUUCUGCAGUGA